rnacentral:rRNA from 1 species
UUAUUUGAUUUUCUUCGGAACUGAAGAUUUGGUGACUGAGUGGCGGACGGGUGAGUAACGCGUGGGUAACCUGCCCUGUACAGGGGGAUAACAAUCAGAAAUGACUGCUAAUACCGCAUAAGACCACAGCACCGCACGGUGCAGGGGUAAAAACUCCGGUGGUACAGGAUGGACCCGCGUCUGAUUAGCUAGUUGGUGAGGUAACGGCUCACCAAGGCGACGAUCGGUAGCCGACCUGAGAGGGUGAUCGGCCACAUUGGGACUGAGACACGGCCCAAACUCC